UAUCCCGAGGGCUUUAACGAACUUAUUCGUUUGAUUAAUUAACAUAUUAAUUAAUCUUUGCCAUAAAUAAAUGAUUAAACCAUUUAAUCAUUCUUACUCAUCUCCAUUGUUUCUUCAAUCUCCUCCUUACACGGUGUGCGAUCCAUUUGAAGGAUUAUUUUGUGAAAACAUGUUCAUUUAAGCAACAUCAAUAAGCAUGCAAUUAACAAUUAAAGGCGGAAUCAUGCUUGCAUGCACUUAAAAACAAAACAUUACCCAUGAAAUUCAAAGCCUAGUAGAUUGGUGAACCAAAACUCAACUCAAAACAAAGUGAGUUGAAAUUUAUACCUU
rnacentral:lncRNA from 1 species